GAGCUAGGAGCCGCUUUCCUCCGCCGUUCCUCCCCAGUAAGCAGGUCCAGCAGAGCAAGUCCGAGCGUCCACCUACCACACCGGCGAAUAUGCUGUUGGCUAUUGCACAUCCUACGGGGCGCACAUUCUCUGCGCGUAAGCAAAGCGAUAUGUAUGGUUGUUACAGUGGGCUCCAGACUCGUGAAGAGUAGAGCCAGCGGGCCAGCGGGCCAGCUGGCCGUGCAUUGCUACUGCCACCUGAGACGUUCAGGGCAGUCAGGACCCCCUCUCCCCGACCAUCAGGGCAAACAAGUCACCUAGACAGCAGCAAGCGAACCCAAAGGGAAGGGGACUCAGAAACCCACCACCACGGGACGUUUGCCAACAGGCUCCCCAGUUGGCGAAAUGCCCCGGACCCCCACCAGAAGGCCCAUCAGCAACAACAGAUACUGACAGGAACUUUGCACGUGGUUACUAGAUGAGGCCUGUGGCCCAAAAAUCCGCAAAACGAAAGAAACUGAAAAGAGAGCCUGAUCAACGAAUAGCUAAUCGUCCAUCUGUGUCAGCUCCCGUGAAAAUAACAACUUGCCCGAUACAAUUCGCGCGAAACGGUGAUGUGACCCGACCAAAUCCCAUAGGAUCCCAUCCUUUCCGAGGAACUCACAGAGCUAUGAACACGCCCAUGGAUUAGGGGGGAAGUGAAAACACCAAGUGAAAACACCAUUUUGGUUUCGGGCUGGACUGCAGGAAAUUUACAGAGUUCACAAGCAGUACAAUCGGUAGUUAAGUUCAGGAAAUGGUAAACGAUUAAAUUUAGGCGAUUGAUGAACGAUAUUAUAUUCAGCCUUAGGAUUUCGCUGUCGUGGCCCUUGUCGUGGCUAGUCGGGGCCGUGCGGGGCCACGACUGCAGGCUCAGGUUGGCUACGGCCAGACCUCAAUAUGAUCGGAUUUUUUCUCAUCCUAC
rnacentral:lncRNA from 1 species